UACGUAGGGUGCAAGCGUUGUCCGGAAUUAUUGGGCGUAAAGGGCUCGUAGGCGGUCCAUCGCGUCGGGAGUGAAAAGCUGGGGCUUAACCCCAGUCCUGCUUCCGAUACGGGUGGACUAGAGGUAGGUAGGGGAGAACGGAAUUCCUGGUGUAGCGGUGAAAUGCGCAGAUAUCAGGAGGAACACCGGUGGCGAAGGCGGCUUGCUGGGCCAGUUCUGACGCUGAGGAGCGAAAGCGUGGGGAGCGAACAGG
rnacentral:rRNA from 1 species